CAGCCGCCGCGGUAAUACGUAGGUGGCAAGCGUUAUCCGGAAUUAUUGGGCGUAAAGCGCGCGUAGGCGGUUUUUUAAGUCUGAUGUGAAAGCCCACGGCUCAACCGUGGAGGGUCAUUGGAAACUGGGAAACUUGAGUGCAGAAGAGGAGAGUGGAAUUCCACGUGUAGCGGUGAAAUGCGUAGAGAUGUGGAGGAACACCAGUGGCGAAGGCGACUCUCUGGUCUGUAACUGACGCUGAGGAGCGAAAGCGUGGGGAGCGAACAGGAUUAGAGACCCGCGUAGUCCCUGUCUCUUAUAC
rnacentral:rRNA from 1 species